rnacentral:rRNA from 1 species
UGGGGAAUCUUGCGCAAUGGGGGAAACCCUGACGCAGCGACGCCGCGUGCGGGAUGAAGGCCUUCGGGUUGUAAACCGCUUUCAGCAGGGACGAGGCCUUAUGGUGACGGUACCUGCAGAAGAAGCUCCGGCUAAAUACGUGCCAGCAGCCGCGGUAAUACGUAUGGAGCAAGCGUUAUCCGGAUUCAUUGGGCGUAAAGCGCUCGUAGGCGGUCUGUUAGGUCGGCAAGUUAAAUCCGGGGGCUCAACCCCCGUCCGCUUCCGAUACCGGCAGACUUGAGUUUGGUAGGGGAAGGUGGAAUUCCUAGUUUAGCGGUGGAAUGCGCAGAUAUUAGGAAGCACACCGGUGGCGAAGGCGGCCUUCUGGGCCAUAUCUGACGCUGAGGAGCGAAAGCUAGGGGAGCGAACAGG